rnacentral:rRNA from 1 species
GACGAACGCUGGCGGCGUGCUUAACACAUGCAAGUCGAACGAAGUGGCGAACGGGUGAGUAACGCGUAAUCAACCUGCCCUUCAGAGGGGGACAACAGUUGGAAACGACUGCUAAUACCGCAUACUGAAGGAGGGGAUUGCGUCUGAUGAGCUAGGUGGAGGGGGAACGGCCCACCAAGGCGAUGAGCAGUAGCCGGUCUGAGAGGAUGGACGGCCACAUUGGGAAUAGGACACGGGCCAGACUCCUACGGGAGGCAGCAGUGGGGAAUCUUCCGGAAUGGACGAAAGUCUGGAGGAGCAAAGCCGGGGGAGUGGUGACGGCCUUCGGGUUGUAAAGCUCUGUUAAUCGGGACGCGGUACCGGAAUAGAAAGCCACGGCUAACUACGUGCCAGCCGCCGCGGUAAUAC